AUGACCGGCUGCUUCACAGCUUCAUAUCGAGCUCUAGUGAAUCACAAAGAGCGAUUGGCUCUAGGUGAGGGGCAGAUUACCGGCACUUCAGUUGAUCAACAACAGUUGUGGAAUGCAGUUUGGAAACUUAAAGUAGUCCCUAAAGUCAGAAUUUCCUGGUGGCGGGUAUUGAGGGGCAUCUUGCCCGAUGAGUGCACUCUUAAGUUUCGCCACAUGAGAACAAUCAGCACAUGCAAGAUUUGUCUUGCUAUGGAGGAGGAUAUGGAGGAUGCGAUGUUGCACUGCUCGCAUGCACGCAGGUUCUGGGAGGAGGCAAGAUUGCUCUUUGAUGUUCAUCUACCUCGCCUCCACCCGCAAACGUGGACAAAAGAUAUUGUCUGUGAUUCCCGGUUUUCGGACAAGGAAAGGGCGAUCUUCGUAACCCUGAUGUGGGCUAUCUGGAUGUCACGCAAUCGCCUAACGCAUGAUCGGGAAGGAUGGGAUCCUGCAGCUUCUGUGAGGAGGAUCAGAGAGGACCUAGCCAUCCUCGAGCUACCCCGGCAACUUACUUCAACACUGCCAGGCUAUGGUUGGCAACCCCCUGAUGACUCGCAUAUAAAGAUAAACACAGAUGCUGCUGUCCAUCUAGAUGAUGGGAAUGCGGGGCUGGGUGGUGUUGCUCGUUCUUCAUCGGGAUUCAAGGGUGCAUGGUGCAAGCCAGUUCCAGGUGUCACUGAUCCUCUAAUUGCAGAGGCUCUUGCGCUGAAGGAAGGAGCGGUUUUUGCUACACUUCGAGGCUACACUGACUGA
rnacentral:rRNA from 1 species